rnacentral:lncRNA from 10 species
CUGAGGCAGGAGAAUCGCUUGAACCUGGGAGGUGGAGGUUGCAGUGAGCCGAGAUAACGCCACCACACUCCAACGAGGGCAACAGAGACUUCGUCACACACACACACACACACACACACAAAACAAAAAGUAGAGUCAAAAUCACAAUUAUAUGGUAGAGGGAAAGCAAGUUCUCUGCCCAAAUCAUUAACCUUUCUAUAUCCUACUGUAAAUUAACUUCACUUGAAAACAUCAAACAGAAAUGAGAGGAGGUGGUGCCUAAACCCAUGGUGCCCAACCACCAUCUAUGGAGUUGUGGCAUUACAUGGCUAAGCUGGUGAGAGUGAAUUACCAGAAACUCUGCACAGAAUUAAAUACCAAAGCAUUCUAAGAUCAAACCACUUUUGCUAACCUGUGCUGCCCUCAAUUUCAUAAAACAUAGAUAUGAAGAGUAAGGAAAUUAAGGGAAGAUAUAAGUGUUCAAUAACAUUGCUGAAUGACUGAAGUUUAAUUUGUAUAGUGCUUAACCACUUGCAAAGUUAUCGCCCAAUUAAAAGUCCAAAGGAUUUUGUACAAGCGCAGAGCAUUGGGCGGUUUCACUAGAACAGAAUGAAAGUAAUGGUUAAUGCUUUUCACGGCAUACAUUCAUUAAGACAGAAUUCUCAAAAAUGUGGGCAGACUCUGAAAGCCUGAGGUUUCAAACCCUGAACCAAUGUCAGAAAAUACGUCAUUUGUAUGGAUGGAGAAGAAUGGGCAAGGAAGUGAAAAGAGACUACUAUUUCCAGAAUGUCACACUGCUUUUGCACACUCUCAAAUAGGCAUCUGCUUGUGUGGGAGCUGUGAUUCCCUCUCCCCUCCCCACUGUCCUCUAGUAUUGUUUAAAAAUGACGGAAGAAACAAUAGCUAGCUCCACAGAAGUCAUCCUCACAAGCCAGAUGUCAAGUGAGGGCUGGCAACGUUGGGGCAAAAUUAAAAGUGAUGGAGGGGGAAACAGUGGUGUGCCCCUUGGGUGGAUAGAAGGUUUCAUUAAUGUCUGUGAUGGAAUCAUGAACCACAACAGUGAGGCAUUUCCGCCUCUGGCCUUUUUUUGGUUUUUGUUUUUUUUAGAAUCAGGAUCUCACUCUGUCGCCCAGGCUGGAGUGCUGAGGCACAAUCAUAGUUCACCGCACCUCGAACUCCUAGCUUCAAGCGAUCCUCCCACCUCAGCCUCCCAAAGUGUUGAAAUUACAGGUGUGAGCCACUAAGUCCACCUGCCUUUUUAAGAUGUGUUUGAAAAUAUCCAGGAGAGCAACUCAGAAGUUAUAGUCUUAAAACAUACCCAUUCAGGCAGCUUUGUUUUCCAUGCGGAAAGCCCAGGUUGGCUGAUAUUCCUGGAGGCUUCACGCAUCCUGGGAGGCGGCUGAGGUAUUCCUUUUCUCCCUUUUAAACAACUGACAGACACUUUCCAGCAUCUUCCUGGUGGCUGAGUUGAUGAGGGAUUUUUUCCCCUCGUACAGUCCUAUUUAUGAAAAUCAGCAGCUAGUUGGUAGCAGGUUAAGAAGCUCCAGGUGUUGGGGGAAAGCAAGCUCCCCAUAAUUAGCAUUUUCCCAUUGAAAUAUCAUUAUAUCCCUGAAAUAUUAUAACUUGAGUGUCCUUAAUUUUCUACAGAUUUUUAUUUUGCAGUGUGAACAAGAUCCUUAAGCUCAGAGAAGAAUCAUUUCCUAGGAAAAAGACUAGCAACACAGAUGCUCCAUGCAACCACUUCUUGUAAAACACCAGUACUUAGACACACAGACAGAUUUUUAAACAUAAUUCUAAGUUCAACAGACCAGACUCAACGCACAGUGAUGCACAAGAAUGGGCUAUGUGCCCACCCCCAAAACACUGUGGAAGCACACUAAGAAUGAGUUCUGAUGAGCAGGUGUUCCAGGCAGAGAAAUGCUUCUAGUCAGAAUCACCCUGAGUUUCAAAAACAGAUUUUUAAAGAUCAAUUUCUAGGUGCAUGUUUUUUGUUUUUUGUUUUUGAGAUGCAGUUUCGCUCUUGUCGUCCAGGCUGGAAUGCAGUGACACGAUCUCGGCUCGCUGCAACCUCUGCCUCCUGGGUUCAAGCAAUUCUCCUGCCUCAGCCUCCCGAGUAGCUGUGAUUACAGGCGCACGCCACUGCACCAGGCUAAUUUUUUGUAUUUUUUUUUUUUUUAGUAGAGAUGGGGUUUCACCAUGUUGGCCAGGCUGGUCUUGAAUUCCUGACCUCAGGUAAUCUGCCUGCCUCAGCCUCCCAAAGUGCUAGGAUUAUAGGCGUGAGCCACCACGCCGGCAUUUUAGUAAUUUUAACGGAGACGGGGUUUCACCAUGUUGGCCAGGCUGGGGUCACAAACUCCUGACCUCAAGUGAUCCACCUGCCUCAGCCCCAAGUAAUAUAUUUUGCGGUAGCUUUUUGAUGCAAAUAUCAGAUUAUUGUACUGAGACAGGAAUAUUUUGGACUGAUCCUUAAAAACCCAUAAAAUUUUAAGCUGCUUUUAAAAAAACUACCCAAAAAUGACAUCCAUCAGACAACAACCCUUAUCCUAUACCCAGUGGGUCAGGGCUAGGCUAAACCACAGAAAGUUAUGGAAAUGAGUACAUCGCUUGCUAAAUAAAACCAGGGGUUACAUUGUGAUGAGAUGCAUCUGGUCAACCCCUUCAUUUUAUAGGUGAGAUUCAGAGGAAUGGCCUCCCCUGGCUAGGAAGUAAGAGAGCCAAGACUUGCUCAUAUUUCUUCUCUCUAAAUCUAUGCCCUUUCCAUGGUUUGAUACUUCCUAUGUAUCGAUGACAUUUUACAUUCCUAUUAUGUGUAAGGUAGCUAGACUUUCUUUGCCCAGCUGGCUAAGCAGCAUUAGCUUGGUUUUUCACAGGCAAGCCUUCUACAGUCUUCUUCGAAUGUACUUGUAGACUCUUUUUCAAAUGCAUUUGCACACUAAUAUGUAUAUUAGUUUUUUAUUGGUGCAUAACAAAUUACCACAAACUUAGUGGCUUAGGCAACAGGCAUCUACUAGCUCACAGUUUCGUAAGUCAGAAGCCCAGCCCAUCAUGACUGGGUUCUCUGCUCAGUGUGUCACAAGGCUGAAAUCUAGGUGUUGGACUGAGUUCUCAUCUAAAGCCUCUAGAGGAAAAAGCCCCUUAAAAGCUCAUUCUUGUCAUUAAUAGAAUCCAGUUCCUUGCAGUUGUAGGACUGACAUCCCCACUUCCUUGCUGGCUGUCAGCUCCUUGGGGCUGCCGGCAUUCCUUGCCACACAGCCCCCUCCAUCUUCAGCUCACAAAGGUGCAUUUGAAUCUUCCUCAUGCUAAGAAUCUCCAGCUUCUCUUUCCUCAAGCAGCAAGACAAAACUCUCUGCUUUUAAAGGGCUGGUGUGAUUAAGUCAGACUCACCUGGAUAUUCUCCAGAUCUUAAGGUCAAUUAUACCAUAGAACAUAACUAGUCAAGGGAGUAAAUUCAUCACAGACAUAGUUCCAGGGAUUACUCAGGGUGUGUAUGCAACACGGGUCUGGGAGUGAAUCAUGGGGGCCAUGUCAGAAUUCUUCUUCCACACAAUGCUAAUAAGGGCAUGUUUAUAUUUCCCCUAACUCUGCCAAAUUAGAAAGCAAUUAUUCUGUCUGAAGUAAGAAUGAUGUAGUGGCAUGGACACAAUUUAGAAAGACCCUUCACAGAAACAAGCAUAUUCUAUGGCUUAAAACUUUCCACUUCAACCGGGAUAGCAAAGGGGUAGAAAUCAUAAAAACAGAUAAAGGAGAACAAUCUGGGGAUGAGACUGAAAUUGCCGAGUGAGACAGUGGGGGUGGGGUCUAAGGAAGCAGCUUUCACAACUGUCACAUACAACAGACUGUAAGAACAUGCUCCGUCAAGAUUGUGUCAUCUGUGUGCCCCACCCUCCUUUUUUGGGUUAAAGCAUAUAGCACUAGUUUCAUUAUAGCAGGGACCAUAUCUACCAACCAUCAAGGAUAAGCACAAUGCCCAGCACAUACUUAGCGCUCAAUCAACAUUGAUUCAAAUAAACUUGAGGUCAGAGGGGAAUGCUGAUACAUGCUGCUGAUUCUGCUAAAUUAGUCAGUGUUCUCCCCUCCCCCAACAAUGAGCACUUAGCCAGAAAAAAAGUGAAAACAGAAUUGGGAACUUCCUUUUAAAAAUGAGUGCCACCUCAGUUCCCUUCAUUUCGCCCUAUCAAAAUACUCCACUAAAAUAAAACUAAAGGAGUUUCUCAGAAUGCAGAAAUCUACAAGGACAAGAAGACUGAGAUGACAGCAGCAACAAUAUCACGAAAGCCAGAAAACUGAUUCAUGCAGCCUGCCACAGAACUCUUGAAUUUGCAAAACAAACUCUGUACCCAUUAAACAGUAACUCCAUUCCUCCACCCCUGCUCCAGGAAAAAAAUAUACAUCCUUUCUGGAAAUACGGGCCUAGGAGUUAACUGCAGGAACUAAGAGCUGGACUACCCUCAUAUUCUCAGAGGAAUGAGAAAAAAAAAAUCCUCUCAUUAUCUACCAGGAAAAAGAAUGGAGAGAAAGCCCAUCUGAAUUAGUGAAAGCAAUGAAUUACAGAUUUUUAGAGCAAGGCAAUUUUAUUACUUGCAACCUAUGGGAAGCUAACAAAUUGUCAGAGAAGCCCUAGGCUCCUAUUUUAAUGAACACAGGAGAAUCAUAUAUAAUUACCAUAUCAAGUGCUACUAUAAAAAUGGAGACUUCUGAAGUACUUGAAGACACUUGAAAACAGUUCAUACUCCAGGAUUUUUAACACACCACCACCACCACCACCACCACCACGACCACCACCACCACCACCACCACUAGGACAGUAUUACUUAGCUCCUAAUUUGCAGCACUGAGAAAGGUUUACGAAGCAAAGAUAAGCCUUAGCCCAAUAUUCAGGAUGAAUGGGUUUUAUAUAAUUUAGAAUUUAAAAUUCUUUACUAUGAACACAUUUAAAUAGAAAACUGAAAAUACUUGAAGGAAAAAUAAAAGCAGACUUCCAACUGACUGGUAUAUUUAAACUAAGUCUAGAUAAAUACUUAGUUUAUUUAUUUGCAAUCAACAAAAUUACUGAGAAAAGAAAAAAGAGAAAGAAUUCCCAUGACAUAAGACAAGCUUUGGGGAAAGAGAAAAGCAAUAACAUGACCAAAUUCUUGUCAUCGGAAUAAGUUGAUCAAAGACAAAGGGAAACUAGAAAACAAUGCAAUAUCAAAAACCCCAAUAAAAUCCCUCAAGCUUGGUCAUGUUUCAUGUUGGAAGGCUGUCUAUUAUUCAGUUCCAAUCCUUAACUUCAAAAGUAUAGUAAGAAAGAAAUGUCUGCAGCUUUGAAUUAGUGAACGAUAGCAUACAAACAAAUUCAUCCUUUCUCUUUCAUUUGUUUUCCCUGAACACUCUCAAAUUGACAAGUGCUAGAAUUCACCAAGAUCAUUACUUCCCACCUGGAUUUGGUAUCCUUAAAGGAGAAAGAAAAAAAAUUCUUUUCUGAUUUAUGAAUAUUCUGCAACGAUGCAAAUAAACCAGCCAUAAAAAUAAGCACAAAGAAAGUCCUCAGCCGGAGCGUCUCUGCCUGGCCGCCCAUCGUCUGGGAGGUGAGGAGCCCCUCUGCCUGGCUGCCCAGUCUGGAAAGUGAGGAGCGUCUCUGCCCGGCCGCCAGCCCAUCUAGGAAGCGAGGAGCGCCUCUUCCCCGCCGCCAUCCCAUCUAGGAAGUGAGGAGCAUCUCUGCCUGACCCGCCCAUCGUCUGAGUGGGGAGCGCCUCUGCCCCGCCGCCCUGUCUGGGAUGUGAGGAGCGCCUCUGCUGGGCCGCAACCCUGUCUGGGAGGUGAGGAGCGUCUCUGCCCGGCCGCCCCGUCUGAGAAGUGAGGAGACCCUCUGCCUGGCAACCGCCCCGUCUGAGAAGUGAGGAGCCCCUCCGUCCGGCAGCCACCCCAUCUGGGAAGUGAGGAGCCUCUCCGCCCAGCAGCCACCCCGUCCGGGAGGGAGGUGGGGGGGGGGUCAGCCCCCCGCCCAGCCAGCCGCCCCGUCCGGGAGGUGAGGGGCUCCUCUGCCCGGCCGCCCCUACUGGUAAGUGAGGAGCCCCUCUGCCCGGCCAGUCGCCCCGUCCAGGAGGGAGGUGGGGGGGUCAGCCCCCCGCCCGGCCAGCCGCCC